UUUGCAUACUAAUUGUUUAUUGCAGACCAAGAAGUGAGAUUCUGUUUUGUCUUUUGAGAAGGAAGACUAAACGAAGACGGGAACAUUUAUAGCCUGGAGAAUCUGUGGUGAGUAUAUAUCUGUAUUACGCCUCAUAUACGUGGGUACUUGUCAUAGAAAAACUUUGCAAAGUUUCCCGUCCACAUAUAAAACUUGUCAUAUGAAAACGUGUAGAAACCAUGCUCGUAUGUAACUGGUUUAUGUCUAAACGAAGGGUCUUCGCUUGAAACGUCGAAUUUUAACUCUUUUAGGUAGCUUUAUACGACGUAAACAAAAACCGUUUGUUACUAAAUACUGCAUGAACUUUCCAUGGCAUAGCAGAGUUGUAGACUCGAGUCGUGUGACUUGGACUCGAGUCGCAAUUUUUGUGACUUGACUUGUUAAAGAGACCGAUGACUUGUGACUUGACUUGGACUUGCAAGAAAUGACUUGUUACCAACGCAAGUCAAACGUAAAUAUCUAGUGAAAAUCAAGUUUUCCAGAAUCUUUGUGUUGAUCGAUCGAUCGUCGUGUUGUACAAUUUGGGAAACGACCUUAGUAUACAUAUCAAUGGCAUCGACAGAAUUUGUGCCGGCGUAUUUCCUGACAAAGCGUUUUUUUUCGCGAUUUCGUUGUAAAAUUUCUGACAUAAAAUAACGACGCCAUAUUUACAUAUUUUGCCGUUUUACGUGGGAAAACAUGGCCCACAUGUGGCGAUAAAAUGACUUGUGACUUGACUUGAAUUGACUUGACACUCGGAAUGACUUGUGACUUGACUUGGAUUUAGACAAAAUGACUUGUGACUUGACUUGAACUCAGACCAAAUGACUUGUGACUUGACUUGGACUUGCAACAUAGGACUCGUUAACAACUCUGUGGCAUAGGGCAUAGAAGAAAUCGCCAAUUAUGCUCGUCUGUAGACUCUGCAUGUAUAUGUUGUAAAGCCUGCCGCACAUGAGAGCAACUUGCUGAGCUAACCGCCUCGCGUGGCAGUAAGUAGCUCUCGUGUGCAGAUAGUUUUCGUGAGGAUUUGACCUCUCGAGGCCUUGAGGAAAAUAUCUAUCGUGUUUGAUAUUUUUCACCCCGCGAGCAAAAUAUCUCAGCGUUUGCGGAUGUUGUGAGCUAAGUGCUGGGCUGUUUGAAUCAAUUAGCCAAUGCGAAAGUUCAUGUGACUUGGAACAAAAUGGAGGAAAAUGCAAAUGAUUUUGUCAAUUAUGUUGUAGUUGAGUAGUUUUCCCAUCGCGUGCGAUGAAAAUACAUAGCUGAGCUAGCUGCCACUCGAGGCGGUCAGCUCAGCAAGUUUCUCUCGUGUGCUGCAGGCUUAACACUUAAAGUAUUUUUAAGCACUUGUUUUUGGAUGCAAUUGGACAGCGAUAAUUAUAAUGUGCUUGUAGUUAGGGACCGGUCAUAAAGUAAAAGGGGGGGGUUGGGAAAAAUAGGGGGGUGGGUCACUAUUUUUGAGCACGGUUGAAGGGGUGGGUCAUCGAAAGUUACGCGCAAUCAUAAGGGUGGGCCAUGUAAAAAUAUGCAGAAGAUUGGGCCCCAGUCAUUUUUUUGUGUUAAAAAUUUCCGCGCAAAUAACAAUAUAUCUGUUUUUGGGCUAAGUACAGAAAUUUGGUAUGAAAAAGUAAGAUAAAGUCCUUGGAAAGCAAAAGAUUGGAAAAGGGGUGGGUCAUCAUUUUUCAGCACCAAUUUAAGGGUGAGCUAAAAAUUUUCGUGCAGCUAUUAAGGGGUGGGCUACCAAAAGUGCUGACACAAAAUAUACUAUUUUCCCAGCCCACUCCCCUUUUAUUUUAUGACCGGUCCCUUAUUGUAAUAUUGUGGCAGCCAGAAAACCGAACAUUAACAGGUAUUUUUCAUAGAAAAUUUGGUGUACCUACCAACACGUGUGCAUUUGGGAAAUAUAAAACUUGCCACAUAAAAAAAUGCGUCAUAGAAAACUGUCAAAGAAUAAAGGAAAACACUGAGGAUUGUUUUAUACGUCGAAUUUCUGUCGCGUCCGAAUGCAAUUCAAACAAUAGAUAAUGAAGCUUAAUGAGGUUUAUCAUCUCAUUAUCUAUUGUCUUAGUUACAUUCGACGCGACCAAAUUGACGUAUAAAAUGGGCCUGAGUCGACCAUAACGGCAUAAAUAUGUCCGUGCAGAACAAUCAUUAGACGGCCAUAUCAGCAUUUUGCUCGGACAAUAGUCCGUGAUGAACUCUGUUUCGGAAUCGCCAAAAAUCGACGUUUGAUCUAGGCUUUAAUGUAACUUACCAAAAGGCAUCUGAUAAGCGGCUAUUUCACACACACUGAGCUGUGUGCCUGGCUCCUCCCGUGAAAUUCGAACAUAUCGAAUACGGUGUCUUGGAUAGGUGACAACCUUGCUGUUAACUGUUUUAGGGCCGCCGUUCAUGGUGUAACCGUUAGAACCAUCGGAAUCUUAAAAAAGAAUAAAUCCGUUUGAUCAAUCAUAUUUCUUGUGGUCGGUUGUUAGAUGCUGUUUAUAUGGUCUCGGGUACUAGGGACACCUUACCCCCCGAACUACCCUGGAAGAGGCAAAAUUAUAUUCCUCAUAUAACAUUUAAAAACGCAAGUGUUUAUAUGGGAAGUUUUCAACUCGUCUCUGCAAGUAGGGUCAUCCUGGCGGUAGGGACACCCUGUUUACGAUUUAACAGGGUUACCCUUGUCGGAGGGACAACUUUUGUCCUUGUGAACAAUUUGCGUUAAUUAAUGAUUUACCUCGGCUUCCAUCCAGGGGCUACUUUUUAGACCUACGCAUGCUCAAGUAUUUCGAGAAAAAACACACGGAGUAUUCCCCGUGUUAUGCCUUUCUGAAUUUUAUCAUAUAAACGCACGGUAAAAGGGUGUCCCUAGUACCAGAGACCAUAUAAACAGUGCCUUAGAAAGCCGAUAGCGCUAUUCACUGGCACUGUGCUAAAAUUGUUGGCAAAAUUCGUUGUCUCGAGCAGAAUUCGAACCCGCAUCUUCGGACAGAUAGUUUCAAACUUUCUAAAAUUGACUGUUGAAGAGAAUAACCGGGGAGUAGUGUUUAUUAGUGGUUAAAUUAACGAGUUUUUAAUAUUUAUUGUGCGUUCCAUAUUCAAGCGCCCGCAGCGAAUUCAAUUGAACAAUGAAGACUGGUAUAAAUCCCUCGACCUUAUCUGCAGAACUGUAGACUGGUAUAAAUCCCUCGACCUUAUCUGCAGAACUGUAGACUGGUAUAAAUCCCUCGACCUUAUCUGCAGACUGCAGACUGUAGACUGUCCUUAUCUUCAGACUUUAGCUUCACAGCUUUUCGUGCACACAGCUUUUCAUGCAUAUUUACAAAGGUUGAAAAUGUAGUGCACUCUACAAUUCUCCUCCGCAGAGGCUUACAUGAAGUUUCUAGUGAGGGAAAAGUGAGCGCGCAAGGAGUGAUGGGAAGAGCUAAAUAAAGGAAGUCUCUGCGAGUUAAUGCAAUCAAUAUGGCGUCGUAUAUAAUUGUUUGUAGCGAAGUUCUAUCAACCAUCGAGGGUGUUAAAACAUGUUUUCGACUUUCAUUUCCAGGCGUACUUGAGUAUCCUGGGGUGGAUUAAAUAUCAUUAUACCGUCCAUUUGCAUCAAAAAAUAUUGAGAAAUUGCAAACGAAUAUCAAUGGAUACGAGCUAUCUAAUUAUAAAUAUCCUCUUAAUUGCAACAUUUCUUUAUAAAAAUGACUCUAUUGAACUUCGAUACUCAGAUUAUGAAGAUUCAUUUCAAUUUUUUCACAUUUCCGUCGAUUUUAAGUUUAAAAAAGGUCUAACAGUUAGUUUGGUAACUUUGGUUCAAAAACCAUACGUCGUCGCAUUAUCUGGCAGAGCCUCCCCAACUUCAUUUCUAUCUUCCCAUCACACCACGCGCGCUCACUUUUAUUCGGGAACUUCAUGUAAGUUCAGGGGCGUAGGAACGGGGGGACACGGGGGGCACGUGCCCCCCCCAAUUUUUUCAAAAGACUAAAAGUGCCCUUUUUUGUGAUGUAAAGUGCCCUUUUUGUACGAGCUAAUGUCGCUGUAAAUACUAAAUUAACAUCAAAGGUGUCCUUUUUGUUUGGAAAUUUCCAUGUUUUUUGAAAAGAAAUGGUCAAAAACAUGCAAUUUUGGUAUGGUAUGACGGAAAAAUGUUUCUCUUCCCCCUCCCCCCGUCGUCAACAUUUCCGGGAAAAAAUUUUUAGGUGCCCUUUUCAAUAUCUAUCCUAAAGUGCCCCUGGAAGCCGGUGCCCCCCUCCCCAAUCAUUAGAUGCUUCCUACGCGCCUGUGUAAGUUAUUUGUAAAUACUUAAGGAGGCUCUGCGGAGAAGAGAGAAGCACUCUACGGUGGGUGACGCUAUCCAGCCUUCGUACAACCCGGGGGCCAAUUUGAUCCAAUUCGUAUCCAACGAACACAUUUUUUCAAUUGUUUUGAAAAUGGUUGUUGGUAUACAGGGUGUCCCCAAAAAAGUGACACUAUAGAAACUAUCUCAUUGUUCUUAAGCCGCUCUUAAAUGCGCGUGAUUGCACGCCUGGGAAUUUAAUGAACUUGUAUUUACAUUUAAGCAUUUUAAAACGUUUUCGCUUUGUCCAAAUAUUUUAACGCCCGAGUCAAGCAAAACGAUUACACUAAUAAAAGGUUUGCUUUUUUACUUUAAAUUCCGGAAGCAGAAGUCUAUGCACCUGUGGGAUCAACUUAAUGCUAGGGCAUUCAAAUUAUAACAAUAGGAUAAUUUCUAUAGUGUCACUUUUUUUUGGGACACCCUGUAUGUUUAGUAUUUAUAAUUAUUAGUAUUAUAUUUUAAGGGAAAUAGCAAUAAAAGGUUUCUCUCAUUUGGAAUAGGGAUUCAAUAUGUUUCAAAACCUUUUUACAGAUUUUCCAUAUCAGUCUUGAUAUAAGAGGUAUUACACUUUUGUUAUGCAUUCCGCCAUCUUAUCCAUCGUCUGAGAUGCGUGACAUCACAGUACUAGGGAAACAUUAUUUUCUAUAUCUUGACCAAUUCUCAGGGCCUAUUAAUUUAAGUACUAGUUAAAACAUGAGCAGCCGAUCUUUAUCUGAUAUACAGACUCGAGCCGAAGGCGAGAUUUUGUAUAUAUCAGAUAAAGAUCGGCUGCUCAUGUUUUAACGUGCUUAAUAAACGACCUAUCUUAUGAGUUCAUUGGCGAAGUAAUUUUAGAAAUAAACAUUGCCUAACCCGAGAAAAUCAAAGCUGAAGUUUAUGUAAAUCAGGACAAACUUUAUCCGAUUUACAAAUAUUCAUAUUUUUUACAAAUAUACAAAUAUGAGUAUUUUAAUGAUAAAUCCUAUGUUUUACUGUUGUUUAUUUUAAAAUUAAAGCACAAGCUAUGUAAAAACUUUCCACUGAUAAUAUUUUUUUAUUUCUAAAAUGUCUACUCUGGUUGUGACGUCACAUGUAAUAAAUCUAGAUGGCGGAUGGCAGGAUAUUUUGGUUUCAAAUAAUUAUCUGAAAAACUAAUAUAGUUUGGGAGAAUUUGUGAAAAGGAUUUGUAAAUAAUCUUAACAUUCUUUCAAAUGAGGCAAACAUAAUUUUUUGAGAGGGGGAUUUAUAGAGCAUACUUGACUUACUCGAGACCGUGACUUUUAUGUUAGGGUAUGAUUCUUGAGAUCCAGGUAACACAAAUGCAACAGCGUAAAUGAGUGUAUCGAUGCCAAGGUCAAGUUCCACAUACGGAUUAUUGGAGACUGUGGUCUUCGCGCAUUUGGAGUCGUCAUCCUUAAAAUUCCCAUCAGUGACCAAUGACGCAAUCUGACUGCCUUCUGUGGAUGAUUGUGUGGCGGGCUUACCAAGUGAUAAAAACCAACGGUGUGGAUCUGGGGAGAAUACUAAUUGGGUGAGUUUGCAGGAUUAUAUAACUAUCGUUUGUGAGUGAAGCUCUGGGCAAACCAGGAAACAUUGUUUCCUAGCCAUGGUUGCUGAGGGUUGGACAGACAAGGAAGCAUUGUUUCCUGGACAUGUUUUCCAAAGGUG